GGACGGGGAUGGGCAUGCGGCGCAUUAGGUAGUCGGGGGUGUAACGGACCACCGAGCCGACGAUGCGUAGGGGUUCUGAGAGGAAGGUCCCCCACACUGGUACUGAGACACGGACCAGACUCCUACGGGAGGCAGCAGUGAGGAAUAUUGGUCAAUGGUCGGAAGACUGAACCAGCCAAGCCGCGUGAAGGAAGAAGGUGCUCGGCAUCGUAAACUUCUUUUGUCAGGGAACAAAGGGCGGUACGUGUACCGCUGUGAGUGUACCUGAAGAAAAAGCAUCGGCUAACUCCGUGCCAGCAGCCGCGGUAAUACGGAGGAUGCGAGCGUUAUCCGGAUUUAUUGGGUUUAAAGGGUGCGCAGGCGGCGCGGUAAGUCAGCGGUAAAAGCCCGGGGCUCAACCCCGGCGAGCCGUUGAAACUGCCGUGCUAGAGUAAGGUCGAGGUAUGCGGAAUGCGCGGUGUAGCGGUGAAAUGCAUAGAUAUCGCGCAGAACUCCGAUUGCGAAGGCAGCAUACCGGUCCUUUACUGACGCUCAGGCACGAAAGCGUGGGGAUCAAACAGGCUUAGAUACCCUGGUAGUCCACGCAGUAAACGAUGAAU
rnacentral:rRNA from 1 species